AACGAACGCUGGCGGCAUGCCUAACACAUGCAAGUCGAACGAGACCUUCGGGUCUAGUGGCGCACGGGUGCGUAACGCGUGGGAAACUGCCCUUAGGUUCGGAAUAACUCUCCGAAAGGGGUGCUAAUACCGGAUAAUGUCUUCGGACCAAAGAUGUAUCGCCUUUGGAUGGGCCCGCGUUGGAUUAGCUAGUUGGUAGGGUAAAAGCCUACCAAGGCGACGAUCCAUAGCUGGUUUGAGAGGAUGAUCAGCCACACUGGGACUGAGACACGGCCCAGACUCCUACGAGAGGCAGCAGUGGGGAAUAUUGGACAAUGGGCGAAAGCCUGAUCCAGCAAUGCCGCGUGAGUGAUGAAGGCCUUAGGGUUGUAAAGCUCUUUUACCCGGGAUGAUAAUGACAGUACCGGGAGAAUAAGCUCCGGCUAACUCCGUG
rnacentral:rRNA from 1 species